CUUAUCAAGGACCCGAUAGAGUGUUUGGUGAUUUUCGUUGCUCAAAGUGCAAUCGUACAUGGAGCAGUGGUAAUUCAUGGGCAAACAUGGGACAAAAUGUUUGAAAUGUGACAUUAUGGUUUACCCCUACCAACAGUGUCCUCUUCUCAAAAGAGAUAAAGAUGAAGAAGACUAUUUGUAUGAUUCUGGUGCUCCCCACCUCUCCCAUCUUUGUGAGAAAUGCAAGAAGCUUGGAUACAACUGCCGGGGAGGAUCCCGAGGAGGAUUUUCCUAUGAUUUUGACUAUUAAUUCAGCUAAUUAUCAUACUAAAAGUUACAAAGACUUUGUUGUGUUUGAGCUAGCAAGAGUGAUUUGUAUCAUGUCUAUGUCUAUUGUGUACUUUGUAUUGAAAUGUGUUUUUUUCAUUUUGUAAACAAACUGCAAGGUCAUUGUGUUGACUUCAUGGAAAUAAAGUA